ACGCUGGCGGCGUGCUUAACACAUGCAAGUCGAACGAUGAAGCUGGAGCUUGCUCCGGUGGAUUAGUGGCGAACGGGUGAGUAACACGUGAGAAAUCUGCCCUUGACUCUGGGAUAACUGCGGGAAACUGUAGCUAAUACCGGAUACUUUCCUCGGUGGGCAUCCACUGGGGAAGAAAGAAUUUCGGUCAAGGAUGAUCUCGCGGCCUAUCAGCUAGUUGGUGAGGUAAUGGCUCACCAAGGCGACGACGGGUAGCCGGCCUGAGAGGGUGACCGGCCACACUGGGACUGAGACACGGCCCAGACUCCUACGGGAGGCAGCAGUGGGGAAUAUUGCGCAAUGGGCGAAAGCCUGACGCAGCAACGCCGCGUGAGGGAUGAAGGCCUUCGGGUUGUAAACCUCUUUUAUCAGGGAAGAAGCGAAAGUGACGGUACCUGAAGAAAAAGCACCGGCUAACUACGUG
rnacentral:rRNA from 1 species